CUUGAUUCGAUGGUUAAUCACGAGGUCUGUUUCAGGGGAUGCCCUCAUUGCAUUGAAGGAUGCGCUGAAUGCUUCAACUGAUCAGCUUAAAAAUUGGAAUCAAAAUCAAGUGAAUCCAUGCACUUGGACCAAAGUUACCUGUGACUCCAACUAUAAUGUCACUCUUGUAUCAUUGUCCUCCAUGGGGUUUUCUGGAUCCUUGUCCCCUAAAAUAGGAGCUCUGAAUACCCUUCAAACACUGUAUGUUUAGAGAACUACAGGCUGGCUACAAUUAAUAUUCCUGAAGCUAUUUGUGUUAACUUUUUGCAUUGGAAUAUUGUUCCUGGGAGUUGAAGAUUUUAUAUAUAAGUUUAUAGAACUUAAAAGCAUGGACACAUGAUAUUACACAGACACAACACAAGCAAGCCGACAUGGCAAUUUUCAAAACCUAUAGGACACGACACAUGGGGAAUAUGCACAAAAUAUAUGAUUUUAUAUAUUUAUUUUAUGUCAUAUAUAUGAAUAUUUCAUUCAAAGUUAAUAAAAAUAUACAACAUAAUACGAAUUUGUAAAGUGUAAAGAAGGAUUUAUUACUAGGAACAGAACUAUGGUGAUGCUUUCCUAACUAGCAAGCUUCACAUUCGAGCUUAGACACAUGACUCAAACAACAAACUGCUAACUUAAGCUUAGCCAAAGACGGA